GACGCACGCUGGCGGCGUGCCUAAUACAUGCAAGUCGAACGCAGUGGGGACGGGUGAGUAACACGUGGGUAACCUCCCAUCAGAGGGGAUAACACUUGGAAAAAGGUGCUAAACCGAUACUGAUGGAUGGACCCGCGGUUCAUUCACUAGUUGGGGAGGUAACGGCUCACAAAGGCCACGAUGCAUAGCCGACCUGAGAGGGUGCGCGGCCACACUGGGACUGAGACACGGCCCAGACUCCUACGGGAGGCAGCAGUAGGGAAUCUUCGGCAAGGGACGAAAGUCUGACCGAGCAACGCCGCGUGAGUGAAGAAGGUUUUCGGAUCGUAAAACUCUGUUGUUAGAGAAGCGGUAUCUAACCAGAAAGCCACGGCUAACUACGUGCCAGCAGCCGCGGUAAGUC
rnacentral:rRNA from 1 species